GCCGGAGUGGCGGAACUGGCAGACGCGCCGGACUCAGGAUCCGGUGCCCGUUAAGGGCGUGCGGGUUCGACUCCCGCCUCCGGCACCA
rnacentral:tRNA from 1 species